UACGAAGGGAGCUAGCGUUGUUCGGAAUCACUGGGCGUAAAGCGCACGCAGGCGGAUUGAUUAGUCGGGGGUGAAAUCCCGGGGCUCAACCUCGGAAUUGCCUUCGAUACUGUCAGUCUUGAGUCCGGGAGAGGUGAGUGGAAUUCCUAGUGUAGAGGUGAAAUUCGUAGAUAUUAGGAAGAACACCAGUGGCGAAGGCGGCUCACUGGCCCGGUACUGACGCUCAUGUGCGAAAGCGUGGGGAGCAAACAGG
rnacentral:rRNA from 1 species